CCAGGCACCAUGCUGGGAGAUAAGGAUCCAACAUAAGACAAACAGUGCUGAUGCUUUUGGAAAGCUCAUAUUCAAGCUGGGGAGACAAACAACAUACAAGAGGGCUCUGAGAGAUUUCAUUUCUGUCCUGCUGAUGAAGUCUACGUUCAUUCAGGGCCUGCUGUGGAAGACCAGCCCCAAAGGUGUGUUAUACUAAGUAGGCAGAUUCUAUCUCCAUCUAAUUCCUAAGUUAGGC
rnacentral:lncRNA from 10 species